ensembl:lncRNA
GGGGGCGUGGCUCAUCGCCGGUACUUGUCUCCAUAAAAGACAGCUAUCGUUUCCGCUAUCCACCGUGGCAAUAAACAUCCGCCAUUUCUGCUGUCUCUAUUUGUUUGUGUGAAUUACACAAACGUCGGAACCGCCGGAUUUUGUCGAGGGUGGCCAUACGACCGACAUGGGGGGCGGGGGCGCUGCGGGGAACGCCACGUACCGUCGUGGAGGUUGAAGAGGAACCAACGCGGCUCUGACCGAGGGCCGUGUUUCUCAGCGUGAGAUAUUGGGUGUGUGCGUGUGAAAACAUGCAAACGCGUGAGUCACACGGCGGAGAGGCUGGCAAGGGAACAUCUGUAGCCUCUUCAGGGGACAGCAACCGAACAACCGGUAUGGAAAUACAGCGUCACAACAACACAGCUGUGUGCUGUGAGAAUCAACUCUAUCCAGUGGCAGAGCUCUCAUAUUGUGGAGAGAAGGCUUUCAACCCAGAAGAAGCCACUUGUUGCCCAUAUGAAAAUGGAAGCACCAUAACAGAGGGCCUUAGUGAAAAGGUGUCAGCUUGCUGUGGACUGAAGGCAUACGACCAGCUCAAUCAAAUAUGCUGUCACGGAACCAUCCUAGUCAAACCUGGGCCAAACGCCCAAUGUUGUGAUAAAAAGGCUUUUGAUGUCGACGAGCAGAUGUGUUGUGGACCGCUGACCAAUAAGACAAUCCUAACAAAAGAAUCCUCAGACCACCGAUGCUGUGGACAAAACAGUUUUAACCCAACGACUCAAUGCUGCUGUUCGAUAAAUGAAAGUCUAAGCAUAUGGUCCAAGGAUUCCAGCUGCUGCGAGAAGGCUGACUGUGGACAGAACACCUACAACACAAGCGACAAACUAUGCUGUCAAUCAACGGUUGUUAGCAAAAAUGUAUCAAAUGCCCAAUGCUGUGGUAAACAGGCGUUUAAUAACGACACACAAUUGUGUUGUGGUCCUUCUGAUGACAAGAUAAUCCUGGAGAGAAUCUCUAUUGACCACCUCUGUUGUGGACGUAACCGGUUCGACACCAACAAGGAGUGCUGCUGUUUGACAAAGGAAGGUCUUCAGAUACAACAGAUCAAUUCCAGCUGCCGUCGGGAUCAGGGUCAAUCUUCUGAUGCCACUGCUGUGUUUAACCCACACAUAGGUGUCUGCUGUGGACGCUGUGUGUCUGAUUGGAACCCUUCGACAGAUCAACUUCAUGGCCCGCCUGGACAACAUAGCUGCAGGACGAAAGUUUAUCGGCCUCACGCGGGGAUCAUUUGCGAUGGACCAAGUGUCUGAUAUGUCAAGACAUGUGCGUCGUCAAAAGCUAAAAAAUGAGUGUUGGGAAACACAGACAGGAGUGGCACGGAAAAUUCUUCAGGAGUAGUUUCAUACUGUUGCAAAGACAGGCAAAUAGACUGGCCGGUUGCCUUUUUCUAAUUGUUCCUCGGAAACUUUAAAAAUAACCAAAGAAUGGAAUGUCUGUGUUUAGGCUAACAGCUGCAGUUUUGAAUGCCUGACCUUCCGUUUCCUCUUGGUAAUUGUACUCAUGUUUGCUGCUGAAUUUAUGUACUCACUUCAAUGCUUGUGUGCAGAAGUUAUCUUGACCACCAGCAUACUUAAUGCCUGAGAAGGAGCAUAUUUGAGCUCAACCUCUUUUGAAUGUAAAAGGCUUUGUCUUCAUAACAUUGUGAUGAUGAUUAUUAUAACAUCUUUAUCCCACUCAUCUGAUUUGAUAGUAACAUUAAGCUCCUGUC